CUCUUUGGUUAUCUAGCUGUAUGAUUUUUCGUACUCAUAAGGCUGGACGACUAAAGGA
rnacentral:pre_miRNA from 1 species